rnacentral:misc_RNA from 1 species
CCAAUAGCGUAUAUUAAAGUUGUUGCAGUUAAAAAGCUCGUAGUUGAACUUCGGGGUUUACUUAUUGGUCAGGCUUAAUUGUCUGCACUGGUGAGAUGAAUCUCUACCUUCUGAGGAACUUUCAUGCCAUUUAUUUGGUGUGAUUGGAAAUCAGGACUGUUACUUUGAAAAAAUUAGAGUGUUUAAAGCAGGCUAACGUCUGAAUACAUUAGCAUGGAAUAAUGAAAUAGGACGGACUGAUUCUAUUUCGUUGGUUUCUAGGAUCACCGUAAUGAUUAAUAGGGAUAGUUGGGGGCAUUAGUAUUCAAGUGUCAGAGGUGAAAUUCUUGGAUUUAUUGAAGACUAACUACUGCGAAAGCAUUUGCCAAGGAUGUUUUCAUUAAUCAAGAACGAAAGUUAGGGGAUCGAAGACGAUCAGAUACCGUCGUAGUCUUAACCAUAAACUAUGCCGACUAGGGAUCGGACGAAGUUAAUUUUAUAAUGACGCGUUCGGCACCUUACG